rnacentral:rRNA from 1 species
GACGAACCGUGCAAACGUUAUUCGGAAUCACUGGGCAUAAAGGGCGCGUAGGCGGCUCCAAAAGUCAGGGGUGAAAUCCGGCAGCUUAACUGUCGCAGUGCCUUUGAUACUGUGGAGCUAGAGGGAGGUAGGGGUCCGUGGAACUUCCGGUGGAGCGGUGAAAUGCGCAGAUAUCAGGAAGAACACCUAUGGCGAAGGCAGCUCUCUGGGACGGUACUGACGCUGAGACGCGAAAGCGUGGGGAGCGAACAGG